AACAUUCUGAAAUGGGGGGAAAUUGUAUCCAUUCAUUUUAUUUUAUUUUUUUCUGCAGAUUUGGAAGAGACAGUGUCUGUUGGGGAAGUCCUGGUGAGGGACAGAUGGCAUGCUCAAGUGUUUAUAAAGGUGAGGAUGGGGGCAGGGGACCCCCCAAGGAGAUGGAAGGUGGUGGCAGGGGGUCAUCACCACCCUGGCUCCAGUGAGUGGUUUCUAGGAUGCAGAGAACACGGCCGGGGCACACACACUGUGGCCAAAGUCUCCCUCUGAUAUCCUGGCCUGGAGCCUGGGGCUGUGCACAGGAGGACUGGACUAGAGGAUGUACUGGUUGCUUUGUCCUUGAAACCCUCACUUUUUCUUCUCCCAAGUUUGCUGCAAGUCUCAGUGGGAAGGAAGGUGGCCGGGGCUUGCUGAAAGAGAAAAAAGAAUCUCUUGUGAGAGUCUUUGCAAACAGUCCUUGGGCACCCCAGCCAGGCUUGGCCUGGACACAUACAUGCGCAGUGGACCAGCAGCUCUGCCAUCCUUCAGGACACAGACGGGAGUCGGCCCUCGAGUUGGAGAGUGGCAGUUGGCACAACAAAGUCUGUCACUGAUGGGCAUUUCCGAGAAGUGCAGAGGUGAUAAGAGUGCACCGAAUUGUCAGCGUGCGGGGAUUAGCAGGCUGGCACAUUUCCUCCUGCAGGCAGCCCUGCUCCGUGGCGCUCAGGACAUAAGGCAUUUCAGGAGAAGCAUCGUCUCCUAUGACUUUGGCAAGGUGAGGCCUUUCAGUAUCCAUAGAUACCACCUGCAGCCGGAACCCCUAGCUGAUUUAGAACCCAACCCCAUGGGUUACCUAGGUUGAUUCCAUGUUUUUGCUAUUAUGAAUAGUGCUGUGACGAAGAUUCACAUGGGUGUGUCUUUAUGUCUUUAUGGUAGAAUGAUUUAUAUUCUCCUGGGUAUAUACCCCAUAAUGGCAUUGCUGGAUCAUUCCCUGUGUUUUAUAUGUUUCAAUAGUUGCAACCACCCAAUGGCAGAACAACCGGCUGAAGAGGGCAGAGUUCGACAUUAUCAUCAACUGGGAGAAAAGAACUGGCUUGUUUUGACAAUAUACUUUAAUAAAUUCAAUUAAGUAGUCAAUAAAUAUUGAACUGAAUUGACCUGAAUAAUCUAAUAAUAAUCAAAGCUACUGUUUAUUGAGGAUUUAUUACGAGUCUGACACUUUAGCUACAUUUUUCUUCUAAUUCCCAUAGUUACCACAGGGAGAAGAAGUACUAUUAUUUCUCUCACCUUAUGGGUGAGAAAAUUGAAGUUCAGAGAGGCCAAGGGAAUUACCCAAGGACACACAGCCAGAAGGUGGUAGAACUGGGAUUUGAAUCAGUGUGGUCCAGCGCUCAUGUUCUAACCACACUCUUAAUGAUUUCUUUUCAUUUAAGCCUCAGUUUCCCUAGCUGUAGAAGGGGGAUCAUAGCAGUAUCAACCUCACAAGCUGGUGUGGUGGUAACUGCAGAAUUUCUCUGGGGCUCUUGAAAUGCCAGUAGAGCAGUUGGCUGCUGAUGGCAAGCCCCAGCCCGAGCUGGGCACUGGUCACUCUGGAUCCUCAGGGACCCUGCUCCUUUUGUGCGGAGCCUAGCAUUCCUAGAAAGCAGCCACUCUUUUCCCAUGGCCUUCCCUGGGUUUCCUUUGAAUGGCUGCUCCAUGCCUG
ensembl:lincRNA